ensembl:lncRNA
AGAACUGAAGAAUCUCUUUGUGCUGCUAACAGGAGCAGAAAGGUAUUUUAAGGUCAGGACUAAAUCAGAGGCAGUUCUGCGGGAUUCAAAGUGGUUUGAAUAGGGAGCAUAAAUCACGCAAACCCCGAGGAGGGUUCAUUACCUUGAAAAUAAAGCUUUUACCGCUGAUUGCAUUGGGCAGCCGAGCUCAGCCCCCACAGCCGCCACAUAAGCCCUCGAAACCCGUCGGCUUCGCCCUUCUUCUGUUUACAACACCAACAGAGUCUUGAGAUUUGAUGGAAGGAUAAUGGAAAACAGCGCAGCGUUUGUUUGUCGCGCUCCUCAGCUGGUUGAAAUUCACACCGGGCGCUCUUCUUCCACGGAGUCAUUUCUCAGAGGCAGUGAAGAAUGGCGCCGCGAUAACAGAUGAGAUUCUCAGCCGGCGCUUGGCAUGCUGGACCGAAAAGAGAGAAGAAGAAGACGGCACGGAGGAGGCAUUAAAAACUCUCUCGCCUUGUGUGUCUGUGUGUGUGUGUGUGGGUGGGUGUGUGUGCGCGUGGGGGACACACACACACACACACACACAGACACUUAAAUGUGGGAAGGCGAUUGCUGACGUCGGUGCUCUCAGUAACGUAUCAGUGUUGUCUCAAUAGCUACAAAUCAAUGUGGGUCCGGACAGCCUCUGCAUUGCAGGCUCCCGCCCGGCGAGGCUGCGGGCGCUGCUGCCCCGCGUGCCCGUCAGGGCGGGGGGGCUUCAAACGGAGGGAAACAAAGCGGAGGGGAGCUGUUAGUGCAUUAAUGUAUGCUGCAUUUUUCUAUCAUUUAACUGAAGCACUUGAAAUAAAAAAUACAAAAAACGUCGAAGGGCGAAUUUUUUGCUUGAGAGAACCUUUAGCUUUUAGAAGGCUGCUUGGAGGAGGGAAGUGCCUCAUUUCACCUUCCUGCCGAGCUCACGGCGGAUUUUAUUCUAUUAAUGGGAUACGGGGCCCGGCUUAAGUCAAAGUAAUUUAACACAACUCACCCGUCAGCUGAAAAGAAACGUUUUUUGUGAGGUUUGAUGGAGGCAGAUAACUUGUACUCCAUCAAAUUUGUAAAAGAAAUGAAAAAUAAAUGUGGGAGAGGAAGUGAACUGUCUGCCGCGACUCUCCAGAUGAUAUAAAAGCGAUAACAUGUUCUCAUGAAGCUGAGGCCCUCGGCGCAGCUGAAUGUCUUCUCUCAGGGUGAAGACCAGAUUUCUCAUUUGGUUCCCAACUGAAAAGCUUGAAAAUGACAAAUGGAAUCGCCCCGGAGCGACCUGCGACCUGCCGACCGUCACGUGAGGUCCAUCUCCGCUCAUCGGGUCUGUGACUCCACGGCUUCCUGAGGGCAGACGUUGGUCAUCUGACGCAAAGCAGCGCCUGCAAUCAAGAGACGGGACGGAAACAGAACUCAUCGCCUCGGGAAAAUACAUAAUACUGUACUGGGUUAAUGAAAAAAUUCGGUUUAUUUCAGUACAAACUGUGCAGUAGAAGCUGGUUUUCAUUUUACCUCGAUGCUCGUUUCACUGAAUGAAAAGAGACCGUACGCGUUUAACACUGGAUAUUAUUACAGGGGCUUUUGUUUAUUCUGUCCCAGUGUUACAUUGAGACAAUUUCACAACUGCCUUAACGUUUCCCAAGUAACCUUAAAGGCACUGCUUUAACAAAAAUAUGGAACCAUCAACAAUGAUAAUAAAUCUAUCCACUUGUUUUAGUCAUUUUAUGCUUAUUACUAUCCCAACGAACUGAACUGGUUCAUGCAAUAAAUUUAACCUUUGCUGAAAGAGUUUUUGGAUACAAAAGAAAAACUGAUCUGACACUAAGCUAGUUCGCUAAGUAAACCUAAAAAUAAGAUUUUCAUUUUCCAUAACUUCCUAACCGGGCGGCACGGUGGUGUGGUGGUUAGCACUGUUGCCUCACAGCAAGAAGGUCCUGGGUUCGAUUCCGCCCAGUGGCCUUUCUGUGUGGAGUCUGCAUGUUCUCCCCGUGUCUGCGUGGGUUCUCUCCGGGUUCUCCGGCUUCCUCCCACAGUCCAAAGACAUGCUCUGGGGAUCAGGUUAAUUGGGGACUUUAAAUUGCCCGUGGGUGUGUGAAUGUGAGUGUGAAUGGUUGUGUGUCUCUGUGUAGCCCUGCGAUUGGCUGGUGACCAAUCCAGGAUGUACCCUGUCUAUCGCCCGAAGUUGGCUGGGAUGGACUCCAGCCCCCCCGCGACCCUGUGUGCAGGAUAAGCGGUUUGACAAUGGAUGGAUGGAUGGAUAACUUCCUAACCAGGUCGUUAUUUGGCGUGUCAAUGGAAACACAUUAACAGAAAGAGUGACACAUGCUAACCUUUGACCUUGGCCUACUUUUCCUUCUUUAACAUAGAAAAUUUCACAUGCAUUAUAGCGAUAAUGCAGACGCGUAUUUCCAGUUACAUGUUUCUGUAAUUGGGUUAUACUUUCUCAAGGCAGAAAAUCCAGCUCCAGUCCAAGGUCAAGUGAUGGGGAUCUCCUGCCUCAGACUGGCCACAGAAGCACGGAGGACUUCACUUGAAAACAUUACUCAUCUGGCGCGGCCUGACAGAGAGCCUAAGACCUUAAUCUGCAACCAGAGGUCAUACACACACACACACACCCGUGCAAGAACUCAUUCCACACUCAAUAAACGCUUGUGCGGCGAGGCAGACGAACCCUCUCACAAUUUCACCUGUCAGAAGUGGUUUCGUUUGGGGCUAAACUACCUCUUUGCAGCCAGCUGGAGCUCUGAACCAACAAUCCAUUGGCUUUGUUUUAAAGUGGCUUCAACGUAUUGCAUAUUGCAGGUUACGCCUCUCAAACCGCCCCGGCCCGGAGAAACCCGCGGGACAACGGCGCCUCUGGUCAGAUUCCAUCACGGCUCCACGCCGUCAAGUGUUUGUCUGGAAUUCAAUCCCGCGGUGCCGUGAUGAGCCGCGUCCCUCCAGCAGCAGGACGCACCAGAGGGGGAGACGUCAGUGUUGUUGUGUUGUCGUCUCCUCAGUGGAUCCAUAGUGUGUAAGGAGUACUUACUUACAUGACUGACUACUUAUUAUCGAGAUGUAUCCAGGUAACUGUUAUUAUUAUUCUGAAACGAGUUUGUUAAAGCUGCAUCCUCUCUGGUGACCACCAGGGGGCGACUCCUCUGGUCCCCUAAGUCAACGAGAAAAUGACUUCUCUCUUGAUUUCCCCCUUUAAACUCUCUGUUUUCAAUUCUUUUUCAACACAACAUGAUGUUAAUUUAAGAAAUGUAUAUAGUCCAUUGAAAGGCACAAUUUCACAGAUGGUUUUUACUUCAUGAAGGUUAAUUAUAACACUACAGAUGCCUUUGAGUAACGCAUUAGGACAUACUUGGCUCCUCCACCUUUUAGUGUCUCCUCUCUUUGCCUAAAAACGUAACGCCAACAGCCCAAAACUCCUAAAAAAUGAAAGCUUCCAAACAGCCGUCCACAAAUCACCGAUUGAAGAUAAGAGCUUCUCUUUAAUAUUCUGUUAUAGCGGCAGACGCUUGCAGUGGUGAUUUUUUUUUACCCCCCAGGGAAGACGGGACGCUCCCAUAGAGGAGAUUGUGCCGUUUGUGGAGAGUAGAAUGCUAAAUAUUACAUGCAAUGUCAAACUGUAUAUAGAGCAGGCCAGAAAUACACUGGUCACCUCCUGUGCUGACAUGAAACUCACUUGGACCGCAGACAUUUAUACAGAAUGCCUGCAUCAGAGAGAGAGAGUGUGGGUGUGUGUGUGUGUGUGUGUGUGUGUGUGUGUGUGCAUGAGCAGUUGUGUGGGGAAAUGGAUGCCUAUAGUUUGACUGCAUGUUUGCGUUCAUGUGCACAUACUGCAACUUCAUUUUUAAAAGUCUUUUUCUCUGCCUGAAACUGUUUGUGCUUUCCUGAAACGUGAGAUCCGCUGACAUCCAGCUUCCCUCGGUAACCAUCGGUAACCAUCGGUGUGUAGUCCUAAUGGGCUCUCUGGAAAGGCAGCAGCACAGGGGUUACUUUUCUGCCGUAUUAAUGCCGCUUCGCAGUUCAUUAAUGUCACGUAAUAGUUUUCGAACUUUCGCUGUGAUGAUGACGAGGCAAUAUGUGGAGACGCAUUCCCCUUCUGUUAAAAGUUAUAAAUCAUUUGAUAUUGAUUUUUUUGGCACCUGCGAGAAACAGAAAGGGAUAAAGCAGACAAAAAUCAAAGACUCUGUCCUUAGGAUUGAUUGGUCGCAUUGUGGCACCUUCCUCUUUGCUCACGCUCGCUCAUCCUCUCUAGAAUUAUUGGACUUUGUUUAAAAAAGUGAACUAUUCACCAAAUAUUCCCAGGUACCGGAUAUUUAUGUUUGUUCACUUCAAAGCUCCACUUUUGAGGAUUUCCCUCCCAUGAGGUUAAAACAUGUUUCAUGUCAAUCACUGGCUGCGUAACGCUAUAAUCUGAACACACACCAGGAUGUUGUUAUCAUCUAAACCCAACAUUCAUUUCUGUCUCUUGAACUAAAUCAGAACAUCUUAGAGGCUUAAACCAGACCCGUUGCUUUGGGAAGUAGCUUAUUGGCUGAGGAUGGACCUCCCUGGCUCCUGGGUUUGGGGGGGGUGGGGGGGGAGGGCGAUUCACCGCUGGAGAAAUGCCCUGAUGACUCCUGUCAGCUCUGCUUCAGUAACCAGGAGAUCCGACAGCAGCAUCUCGCCUCUGGUGAACAGUAACCGUGUAGUAAGUUGUAGACAAUAAAAUAUACCAAUAGAUUAGGCUGCAAUGGAGAAUAAUAACAGUUUGUUUACGUUGAAGAAUGACAUAUAUACAGGACUCACUCUCACCCAAGCAAAUGCUUCCUAAAAGUCAGAAAUCGCAUCCAAUGUUCUGGAAGUUUCACUUCAAAGUGUUUACUUUCCUACGUGCAGCGUUAUCGACGUCCACUGCAGCCGCACCAUAAAUCACAAACAAACACAACUCUGUUGUUCCAUCUUCUCACGGUGACAUCACAGCAUAUAUAUCGUGACACUUAUUCCAUGCUUCUUACUUCUGUUGUCCUCUCGUUUGACUUCUUUCUGUUCCUCUCUCCUUCUCCUUCUCUACCUUCUGCUCCUUCUCACUUCCCCUCCUCCUCUGCCCUUGCCUCUGCCAUCAUGCCGCCAUCUGCAUCCUGCGCAGCGUAUAAAUCACCUUUACACGGCUCCUCCCCCCCUCCCUCUCCCGUCCGGGGUCAGUGGGGGAGGAGCCGCCGAUGUCACAGGAUGAAUGACCCAAUUGGGAACCAGCUCAGAACAACCUGGUCGACUUAAUCUUCACUUUUAUUUUCUUCCGCUUUCAGAGACUUUUGGCCAUUUGAUUUUUUUUUUUUUUUCUCGCGCUCUUUUGUAUUUCCAAGUGGUACAAGAUUCUGUAAUUACCCACGAUUGCUGGUUAAAAGUGGGCUUUUUAAAGAUUCUAAAUGUUCUAAAUUCUGUCCUUCGUGUGGACGCUUCCGUGUCUUCCACUUUGCUUCCUUCAAGACUCUAAAAGGAAUCAGGAAACAUUUAUUGCCAAAAUAUGUCAAACAUACAAGGAAUUUGUUUUGGCGUUUGGUGCGUGACAGUAGACAGUGUAACAAUAGACAACAAGACAGCAGUGCACAAGUAAUAAAAUAAAGUAAAAUGAAAUGCUAAUGCAAUGGGUUAGUAGAAGAAGGCUAUGGGUUAGUAUAAAACAAGAGAAUGAAGUUAGAAUUAAAAAUUUAAAAUAAUAAAAAAGUUUUAAAAAGUGCACUAGCGAACAAGUGACAAAGUGACGAGUGACGACAAAGUGAAAAAUAACAGUAAAGUGACCACGAACAAGUCCUGCAGGUACGGCAGAUUGCAGCCGAUCACCCUCUCUGCAGAGUGGAUGACCCGCUGCAGCCUGCCCUUGUCCUUGGCUGUGGCUGCAGCGUACCAGACGGUGAUGGAGGAGCAGAGGAUGGACUCGAUGAUGGCCGUGUAGAAGUGGAUCAUCAUAGACUUUGGCAGGUUGAAUUUCUUCAGCUGCCUCAGGAAGAACAACCUCUGCUGAGCCUUCUUUGUGAUGGAGCUGAUGUUCAGCUCCCACUUGAGGUCCUGGGUGAUGAUGGAGCCCAGGAAACGGAAGGAGCAGGAAACAUAAUUAACAACAAAAACAACAAGGUUCUGCCAGGUACCGGAGGGCUCUGUGCUCGGCAGAACCGUUGAACACGUCUUCAACAUGAUUGUAUCACAUUACGUUUCAAGGAUAACAGCAUGUAACUUAUAUCUCUUCUGCAGUUUAUUAUUUGUAAGAAAAGGUUCAAUGGACUUGCUGUGAGAUCCGUCUCUACGGUCAGUCGCAUAAAUGGACGUUCUUUCUUUUUUCAGCAAGCUGGCAGACAAACUACUGGAUGAACCACCCGACGGGCGGAUCAGGGCCGCAUGUAACGUAUGCAAGACUCAAUAAACUAAUCAACCUUAAAGCUUCUUCUAGCCGGUUGUAAAAAUAUUGCCCGUCAACGCGGCUUUGCAUAGUAACCAUAGCAACCUUCCACUAUUUUUACCAAUGUUCAACCUUUCAUCAAUUGGUACAAAAUUAUUUUUAUUGAUAAAAACCUCUUUUUACCGUUAGAUUGGCUUUUGUUAUAGUAAAGAUAUUCAUUUCUCUGAACAGCUUUAAACGCAUUUUGAAAACCUCAUAAAGAUGUUUUUUUUGGGGCCUUAUUUGCACACUUAUUACUCUCUUAUUACAUGUGAACUCAUGAAGAAAUCUACCUGCAGCUGAAAACCACUCCGAUAAUUUCCUGAACCCAAACCAGGGAACUUUUACUCAUCAACAAAUUGAAAUCAUUUAAAUAAAUGGCUUUAUUCAUCGGCAACAAAGUUGCUUCGUGCUCUUUGUUGCUUGUGAUUUCUGCCGCCGUUACCUCGCUGCAGCUUCGACCUCGUGGGAUACAAAUUGCUCGCGUCCGCCUGGGGAUCUAACCAACCUCGUUUACAUUCCGAAAGCACAUUCUAAAUUACCCACCAGCUCCGUUCCUCACCACAUUAGGAAAACAUUUUGAGACAUUAAUCACUCGGAGCUGACGUUGCUCUCACGCCCACGCCGCAGACGAGCCGCUCCGCAGACAAAUGGCUGAUCAAAGCCGCUAGAAAACUUCCAUCUGGAGACUCGGCUCAGCGUCCUCCUCUGUUGUGUCCUCUGUCUCGCUCUCUUCGUCUCACUGCUGGUUCAUAAGUGGCCACCGAAGACGAAUCCCCCGGAAGAAUCGUGAAAGUGAUGGAGCUGGAGCGAAGCAAAGGGCACCGCAGGAGGUCCAGGUGCAGGUGAAACGUUGACUACCCUAUUUGUUGUGACGUUACUCACGUUGCACCUUUUAAAGCGCUUUGUCAUCAGGACAACCCCUCCACGUGACCAAUUGAGGAUGUGUUCAUCUUUCUUUUUGUCGUUGUCUAGUGAAGGAGGAAAUCUAUAUUCAAUCCCACGACAAGAAAGCUGUCUGUGUGUCUGUGUUCGACCCGAAGCUGCAGAAAGAAAGAGCAGAGCUAUAAAGAGCUAAAGCUCUGCUGCUCACAGACAACACGACAAUACAAUAUUUAUACUCUGAGAGAGUCGGCUCAAACAGCUGAUUAGCUCUUCAGACCUCACAGGAGACCGUCUGCUUUGUUUCGCUCAAACUUCAAAUUUUCUGAACCGAAGCCCAAACUAGACAGUAGACGCUUAGAUCUGUGCUCUUAGUAUUUAAACUCCCACCAGACCCACAAGCCAGAUGCCUUUUUAUUCAAUCGUGGCGCAACAUUGUAUAAUUAAGUUGCAUAUUUGGGAUCCAGGAAAUCAGAGGAAGUGUGAAGAGGCCGACGGUUUACUGUAAAACAUCUCAGGCCUGAGGUUGCUUACGAGAUGCACUCAGUUUCGAUCUCCUCGCCUACAAAUGAACGUCGCGUAGCGCCUCGGCAGCGGUUGACAAAUGCUGUUGGCUUCUCUCGUGCUGCCCUGAUGUCGAAAUGUUCUCUGGACCCAGAUGCAUCACAGCGACUACGUCAAUGACUUAUGCUGCUCUGGAAACACCUCUUACUGAAAUGUCAGAAUCAGCCGUGGUCUAAAACAAAUGUAUGACCUGAAGGAGAGAGAGGGAGAGAGAGAGAGAGAGAGAGAGACUUGGCCAUCAAGAACUUAUUGACAGUACUGCAGCAGCUACACACACACACACACACACACACACACUACAGCAGCCAUUGCGCUUGGAGCUCCCAGACAGGCCACGGGGAGACGAGCUCUCUGGCAGAGAGGUUACUGAUGGUAGCUCCCGCACAAACAUCCCUCUGCUGUCUGUGAUGCACAUGUUACUUACUAAAAGAAUCAGCCCCGUCGCAGCGGACGAGGCGUUAAUCGUCGCCGCGCUCCUCUCUGGGAGCUAACAUCGGCGCCACGCCGCUGGAGACUCAGGACGUGGUGCUGGACCCGCUGGAGGCAAGGGAGGCCCGGGAGAAGCACAACCAGGACUCCGCUCAAAUGAGAAGGUCUACUCACGGGACCAGUACUAGUCCACAGGGGGCGCUAGAAACAUUGGAAAUCUGUUCAUUAUGUUGUUCUCGAGAAGGUGGAAUUUUUGACAAUGUGUACUGAUUAGGCCCCCUCACCCUAAGUAGACCAAAUUACAGACAUACAGUUAGUAGGCACGAAAAGAAAGGCUGCUAUUGUAACUACAGAAAUUAAUUAGGUCGGUCUGGAUUUCUUUUACAUUACAAGUUGAUUAAAAUGAUGAAUCAUUAUACUUAAGGUCAGACUUGUCAUGGCGGCUGCUGAUGCUCCGCCCUCUGGCGCCAUAUCCAUGUCUCACUAAUUGGGGCCUCUUCCUCUGGUUUCCUCCCCAAAGGGAACGAGCUUGUGAAUGUAGAUCAUGACACUGUUGGGGAGUCAGUAUUACAUUCAAGUCUGAUACUAACUAUACAGUAUGUCCCAAACAUUCUGCAUCGUAAACAUAAUGGAACAACGGGGGACAAAAUGUUGUGGAGACACCAAACGUGAAAAAUAAUCAUAUACAGAGUCAGUUGAGUCAGCAGUAUAAAAUGAUGGAAUACAAUAUGUUGGCUGCAGGUAUGAUCCUUAAUGAAAAGCAAUAUUAUGUGAUUUAUUUGCACAGGUACCCGUAAAUAAAGGUACCUGUAAAUAAAUAACAUGUUAGAUUAUUGUGCAGGACAAGUAAGUCAGAGUUAUAUAUAAAUACACACUCUGCUUUAUCAAAAAUACAUUAUUUAUUAAAGACUAGAGGAGUCUCAAGCUGCACUGGUUCCUCCUCUGACAACUGCCGCUUCCUGAACGACAACUACGUCCACCUCUAGAACGAAUUUCUCCUCCUGUAAAACCACUUCCUCUUCCUUUACGACUACUUCCUUCUCCCGUAGGACCCCUGUCUCCUCCAUUAUAACUCCUUCCUCUUUCUGUUGGACUACUUCCUCAUCCUUUACGAUCACUGCCACCACCUGUAGGACCACUUUCUUCUUCUGUACGACCAUUUCCUCUUCCUGUACGACCACUUCCUCCUCCUGUAAGACAACUUCCUCCUCCUGUUGGACCACUUCCUCCUCCUUCCUCCACAUGGACGACCACAACCUCCACCUGUAGGACCACUUCCUCCUCCUGUAAGACAGAUUCCUCUUCCUGUAGGACAGCUUCCUCCUCCUGCAAGACAACUUCGUCCUCCUGUAAGACCACUUCCUUCUCCUGUAUGACCACUUCCUUCUCCUGUAUGACAGCUUCCUCCCCCUGUAUGACAGCUUCCUCCCCCUGUAUGACAGCUUCCUCCUCCUGUAAGACAGAUUCCUCUUCCUGUAAGACAGAUUCCUCUUCCUGUAGGACAGCUUCCUCCCCCUUUAAGACAACUUCCUCCUCCUCUAGGACCACCUCCUCUUCCUGUAGGAGAGCUUCCUCCCCCUGUACAACCAUUUCCAAUUGGUGUUCCCACACGUUU